UGUUAACAAUUUUAUCUAUUUUUACUGUUAAAAAUUAGCGUAACUGAUAAAAUAAAUAAAUAGUUACAUAUGGUGUGCCAUGUGUACCUCAAUCUGACAUUCAAAUAUAGGUCUUUAAUAGUAAAAAUGAAUAAAUUUUUUAACA
rfam:Gossypium arboreum cultivar AKA8401 contig_509_3, whole genome shotgun sequence.